GACGAACGCUGGCGGCGUGCUUAACACGUGCAAGUCGAGCGGUAAGGCCCUUUCGGGGGUACACGAGCGGCGAACGGGUGAGUAACACGUGGGUGACCUGCCCUCAGCUCUGGGAUAAGCCCGGGAAACUGGGUCUAAUACUGGAUAUGACUCCACGGUGCAUGCCGUGGGGUGGAAAGCCUUGUGCGGCUGAGGAUGGGCCCGCGGCCUAUCAGCUUGUUGGUGGGGUGAUGGCCACCAAGGCGACGACGGGUAGCCGGCCUGAGAGGGCGACCGGCCACACUGGGACUGAGACACGGCCCAGACUCCUACGGGAGGCAGCAGUGGGGAAUCUUGCGCAAUGGGCGAAAGCCUGACGCAGCGACGCCGCGUGAGGGAUGACGGCCUGGUGU
rnacentral:rRNA from 1 species